rnacentral:lncRNA from 1 species
AACCGAAUGAUCGAUAAAUUAUAAUUAAUUAUUCCGAGCAUCUUGACUAAAAAAUAAAAAUAAAAGGGUAGAAAAUGAAUAAAUAUUGGGUGCAAAGUGCUCGAAAAAAUAAAACGACUUUCCCACAUUGAUCAACAUGAAAUAAACUUCUAAAAAACCUACAGGUUUUUGUUAAAUUUUGAAAUGAAAAUCGCCCGGUUAAAAUGCUCAGACGGAUCAGAGUGUGAUCGAAAAU